AGUGCUGUCUCUCUUCUUUCUUCAGGACCUGCUGCUUCUGUUCUCUGGAUUUCAAAAGAAAUCCAAUUUAUGAAUUGAAAGAAUGAAUGCAAGAAAGUAAACC